rnacentral:rRNA from 1 species
GAUGAACGCUAGCGGCAGGCUUAACACAUGCAAGUCGAGGGGCAUCGAGAGUAGCAAUACUUGUCGGCGACCGGCGCAAGGGUGCGUAACACGUGAGCAACAUACCCGUUUCAGGAGGAUAACCGGAGGAAACUCUGCCUAAUACUCCAUGACAUCAUCAAACGGCAUCGUUUGAUGAUUAAAGAUUUAUCGGAAACGGCUUGGCUCGCGGGACAUUAGCUCGUUGGUGAGGUAACGGCUCACCAAGGCGACGAUGUCUAGGGGUUCUGAGAGGAAGGUCCCCCACACUGGAACUGAGACACGGUCCAGACUCCUACGGGAGGCAGCAGUGAGGAAUAUUGGACAAUGGUCGGAAGACUGAUCCAGCCAUGCCGCGUGAAGGUUACUGUCCUAUGGAUAUUAAACUUCUUUUGUAUGAGAGCAAUAAGGUGCACGUGUGCACCGAUGAGAGUAUCAUACGAAUAAGCAUCGG